ACCAAUAAAGAGCCCUCCGUGCAAAUGAGGGAUGGAGGAGAAAUGAACGGAAUGAAAGCAGCUUUGGAUGGAGCAGAGCAGGGCUGGGGGGGGGGCAGUGGGCUGCCCACGUCACAGCAGGGCUGGGUGGAAGCCCAGGGCACACUAAUGGCCUUUGGAGAUUUGCUUUGGAGAUGGCAGCUGGCAUCGGCACCUCCUGCCUGGGCAACACAUGACCAUAGAACAACCCCUGUUAGUUGCUUUUCUCUGCAGUUUCCACACGCCUUACAUCAGCUCUCCAUCCGAGCAUCCUCACGGCAAAGCUCCACACGGACCCCAAGAAAACUGCUCCCUUCUGGAGGAGGAUGCCAAGUGCAGGAAGAGGGGCAGAGCGACGCAGGCGGAGCGGGCUGUGAUGCAUCAGAUGAAAGUGAGGCAAGAAGCACUGCUGUAUUCCAGGGAACAGCUGACAGAACUCACAGCUCCCAGCACGCUUGCUAACGAGCGUGCCUGUCAAUUACUCAUCUCACAUUGAUGUAAGGACUCGUGCUCUCAGCUCACUGCUCGCUACCAGGGACACACUGCCCUCUCUUGGAGAGCUCUGCAGAGCAGCUCUGGAGUGCCGGGAGUGACACCGAGCACUGCAACGCUGCUUGCAUUGCUUAGAAACUCACUGCUGCCCGAGACACAGGGCAGGAACCACCAGCAACUGCCUGGCUUUGAUUUGGAGCUUUGAAGACGGAGCAGGGAAGGCGCAUUGAGAGCUGCAUUCAAGUGAGCACCCGGCUACAGGCAGCGCUGCGCUCCCAGCCCGCGGUCACCAGGAAGCACGGAUGUUUGCUUGUUCCUGUUCCAGCUCCGCCACGCUUGCCCUGCACGGGGCACGGCUUCGCAGGAAACCACGGUGAUGAGAACGAGGAGCAGCCACCUAUUUGUCACCAGAGCUGCCUCCCAGCAGAGGUCACCCAGAGCACGGUCAGGCAUUUUGAGCCGCUGCUGCCAUUAAGGAUAGUGCAGCGCUGCCAGAGCGCAGCAGCAGCACCUCCAGCUGCCCCCAGCCCUGCUGCAGGCAGGGGAUGGCAGCGAGGCCAGCAAUCCUCAGCCUUUGCUGCUGCCAGGGCUGUGGGUUGAGCACGAGGAAAACUGCAACCCCAGCGCCGUGAGCACCAGCCUCCAAGCUCUCCUCUUGCAGUUCUCGUUUUGUUCUGCCCUGAAUACGAGCGCAGCGCUCAGAGGCGUUUCUCACCAAAUUAAAGUGUAGAGAAGAGAAAAAGCAUCAGGAAUUCCAGCAGCAGCAGCAGGCACAGCGCACAGCCUGCGUGCCAUGGCCGUGCAGCAGCUGCCAAGCACCGAGAGAAGCACAGGAGAAGCACAAAGGCAAUGCAACAGAGCCGGGUGCCGCUCUGCGUCUCCUCACCCCAUACUCACAGCAAAGCACCCACAUAGCACACGGCUGCACCACAAACAGGCUGCUGCUUUCUGAAGGCACGUUUAGGAAGGGAUAAGUGAGUAACGCUUUGCUCUUUUGCAGUUUAUCAGACGCUCUCAGUGGCUCCUCCAGAAGCAACAGCUUCCUUCCCUUCUGACCUGGGAGGUGUCCCAACACCCACCCUGCAUCCUACAAACCCACGGUGAGAGCCCUGGGAGCACCUCAGCCUCCGUGGCAGAGCAGUGCUGCUGCCCCAUGCAGACCCACUCGCUCCCAGUGCAGCUCCACAGCAGCCACGUGCAGGCAAGGAGGUGCAGGCAGGGAGGACAGCAGCACCCCAAGCACUGCUGCAGGCAGACGUGCUGCUGCGCCCCCACUCCCACCCCACAGUCGGGAUCAGAGCCACGCGGCCAACAAGAGAUUGAAAGCUGGUGCCAGCACACAGGUUAGACACCCUCUCACAGUAAUUAAAGUGAGCACUAUAUUUGAUUAAGUUUUAGCUUGCAUGCACUUCAGAACGCCAGCGUGCUGGCAGCAGUGCCGGAUGCAGAGCCCACCUCCCAGCACCAAACACCAGCAGGAAGGCUCCACGGACACAGCCAACAGCAGGACGAGGAGGGCAGGAUGACACCGAGGGAGAAGGACGAGGCUGGGGGAGCCCCAAACCCUGCAGCCAGGUGGGGAUCCACCCAACUACAUGGGGAUGCCUGCAGAAACGUGACCUGGCAACACCUGUGGGGCGGCUGCCACCCCCAAAAUCCAAGAGCUGCUGUGCCAGCACCCCCACCUGAUCAGUACUGCGGAGCAGCUGCUCCGUGCAGCUGAACCACUGCAACUUUGCCUUUUGUUCCGGGCGCGGGGGGCGCGCAGCAGAGAUGCGCACAAUGCAGCUCGCUGCAUGCUGACAGCCCUCUGCUAUUUUGGGAAUGCUCACCCGCAGGUGGGAUGGGAUUCGUGCUCCUGUGACUGACAGCACAACUCACCGACUCCUCUCCAGCCCGGCCCGUGGCAGCUGCUGCUAUUCUGAGCACCUCUCCGUGCUGCCUUGUUCCAAAGGAGAGCGCACCUCCACCACACCGGCUUGGCACGUGUUGAAGAGAAAGCAUGGCUUAUUUUUCCUCCAUCGAGUUUUGCACACAGGUGGAGAACCCUCUGCAGCAAAGCCAGGGGCUGCUCGUGCAAACGGCUGUGCACACGGGGCUGCUGCAUGGCGACAAAGCAGCUGGAGGAACCAAUGGCCACCCAUGCAUGGCCACCAAAGUCCCUGCACGGCCGCCAGCCCUGCGCCCUCUCCCUGCCCAACACUACACACAGGGUCCAACAGAACCAUCCACGGAUGGAACCAAUAGAAGGGAUGCCACACUGAGUGGGUAACGUGCUGUAGAAGUGUUAAGUCUAGCACGUGUUUUUGCACACCUGUGCACCACCACACGCAUAAAGAUGCACUUGAGUGUGAGCCCACUGCUCCUGAGGAGCCUCUAUGAGGAGCCAACAUGGAUGCUUACAAAGGAAAGCUGAGGGUGGGAUAAUGAGGCAAAGAAUGUCAGCCACCCCAUCAGCACCCUGAGCUUCCUAUGGAGACAAGAAGGAAUCCCACGUGCCACUGCUUACAAAAUCAACUUCUACUGACCUCCAACCUUCGUGUUGGACGCUGAGUUCCACCCUCCCCACGGUUACCUUCACCUUACUGAGGGCAGCGAUGACAACCUGAGCUGCGCUGCUCCUUCUUCACCAGGAGAUGCCCAGGAAGCCAAAAACCAACCACACACACAGGGAAUCCCAAAGCUGUGAGGCUGUUCCUUGCACGGGGCACCAACCCUCUCCCAGCCCUCCCCAUCACCUGGAACACCGCUGCUGCUCCUCUGCUUUCAAACCCGUACCUCCCCGUGUCUAAAGUGGCAGCUCCCUGUGAUUGCUGGAGGCAUCACCUGGCAUUUAAUGCCCUGUGAUCACCCAGCAGUGCUGCACGUGCACCUCCAGCCCCACGACAGCUCCCCACGCUCACCCUUACAGACACUGCCCCAUAACCAGAAGCCAAAUGAUAACGUUUCUCAGCCUAAGCCAGAAAGGAGAGGUGCCUCUCCAACCGGCUGAGUGCUACUGAUGGAAGAGCUGCAGAGCAACGUGGAAUCCACCACGGUACCACAGCGAGGGAUGCAGGGAGCAGCACAACAGGAGCACCAGCACGGAGCUGCAGCAGCAAGCAGGGGAGGCAGCCUUGGAGGUGAGCAGAACCUCAGGCUGGAGGAGGUGAGCAGAACCUGGGCUGCACCACGGAUCACCCCACAUAGACCCACACGCAGCCACAGGGCAACGCUGCUGGAGCUCCAGAACUGCGGCAGCAGAACCUGAGGGCAAACUGCAGUGGGUUAAAUGCAUCCAGAAGAACAACGCGAGGAGGAAUGGGAGAGCAGGAGUGGGCAAAAAGCCUUCCGGGUCUGAAGGAGAGCAGCCCGGGCUCUGCAUAAAAACAGAUGGAGGUUCUCUCCCCGAAGGGAUGCGUUUUCAGCUCUGCAAAACCAUCCGAGCAUUGAAACUUCUCUCCCGGCCGUUAGCAGGAGCAGGGAAAGGCAUGCAAUAAAUUACGAGAGCGUAACCCUC